GAACAGUCUGCUUUUGCUAAGAGUGGAAAUGCCUCUGCUGAAAUGAUCUUGUGGGAAUAGGAAGAUGCAAGAAGAAAAUGUUCAAGUAAUCUGUAAAGCCUGCACAAUGCUACAAACAGAAGGAAAGUUCACAUAAGGAAAUGAGAGCUGAAGGAUAGUGAUUGAUCAGUAUCAUAUGCUGUCCUCAUGUGCCUCUAACCAGGGUAUGUUGGGACUUCACUUUGCAGGGAUGAGGCAAGUGGAGGCACAAUAGAGACAGGAGAUUUCAGUUUUAAGGUGAACUUGAUUGCAGGCUUCUGACAACCUUCUCAAGGACACAACCCAUGAGGCAGAAGGCUAAAUUUGGAUUUGAUCCAUGGCUGGCCAGUAGCUUUCUGUUGAUGGGUGUUGAACACAGUCUGCUGGAGGCAACCCUGUCUCAAAAAGUCCCUACACUAACAGUCAGUGGGAGCUGUGAAAGAAAAAGAACGGAAACACAGCUCAAGGCCCACUACUUACAGCAUUGUCCUGAGCCUCCAUUGCUGACAGCAUUCAGGACAGUCUCCUGGAGUUCUGGCCCCAGAUCCAGCAUGGUACUUAAUAACCUGAAGAUUCCUGCAGCAGAAGCAAGAGUUAAAGCAAAAAAAUGGCAGAGAACCUGGAUCCCAGUGAUACCAUGGUGGCUUGAGUGGUCUCUGCUCAGUGCAUGUCUCUGCUUCUGGCAGGGGAGGAACAGCCAAGAGUGCAUGUGA
rnacentral:lncRNA from 1 species